UGGAAAUCUCAGCCAUUUAGCGUUUGGGUCAAGACGAAGGCGAGUUCUGGACAGACGUACGCUGUCAGGGAGUGUUUACUUCGCCUCCAGUUCUGUUCCUCCCCACCCUGGUGCUGCUCCAGGUCACAUACUCGUCCUGAGUCGGCUUCAGCCUCUCCGCGCAGAAGUCUCCCGGAGCCGACUUCUGCGAGUCGAGUACUCUUAUGUGAAGUCUACCAAGCUCGUGUUCAAGGGAACCAAGGCGAAGAGGUGGGUCCUGCAGCUCUGGCGGGAGCCUCUUCAGUUCUUUUCGGACGCACUCCACCCCCGCGAAUCCGGUGGAAGUAGUGGCGCGGAGAGCUGGCUUCGUGGCCUCCCAGGCUUCGCCCUGGCCCCUGUCCGGGCUGGAUGGAGGCUGGACCGCGGUUCCUGGCGCCUGUGCAGAGAGGGGCAGCCUCCCGCGCGGACGACCCUGGAAACAGGAUAGACGGGCGGGUGACCCGUGGCCCUGUACCCACGAGUUUGGGUCCCCUGAGGCAUCUCUCCAGGCCUCUGCCUGUAAGAAGAAAAAGAGCAAAGAUAAGAAGAGAAAAAGAGAAGAAGAUGAAGAAACCCAGCUUGAUAUGUUGUUCUGCUUUUCCAGAAUCCUGCCCUUUCCAAAAGGAAGACGGUAUGAUUAAGUUCCAGGAAAGGGUGACAUUCAAGGACAUAGCUGUUAUCUUCACCAAGGAAGAGCUGGCAGUAUUGGAUAAAGCCCAGAUAAACCUGUACCAAGAUGUGAUGCUGGAAAACUUCAGGAACUUCAUCUCAGUGGAUGGGAUUAAAAACAACAUUUUGAAUCUUCAGGGAAAGGGGUUAAGUUACCUUUCUCAAGAAGAGCUUCAUUGCUGGCAGAUUUGGAAACAAAGGAUCCGGGAUUUAAGUGUGAGUCAGGAUUAUAUCAUGAACCUUCAAGAACAGUGUUCCCCACAUUUAGAAGAUGUUUCCCUCUGUGAAGAGUGGGCAGGCAUGUCUCUUCAGAUUUCUGAAAAUGAAAACUAUGUAGUAAAUGCCAUUAUCAAAAAUCAAGAUAUCACAGCAUGGCAAAGCCUGACACAGGUUCUUACUCCAGAAUCUUGGAGGAAAGCCAACAUAAUGACCGAGCCCCAGAAAUCUCAGGGAAGAUAUAAGGGAAUUUACGUGGAAGAGAAAUUGUACAGACAUGCUCGGCAUGAUGAGAGCCUCAAUUGGACCUCACGUGAUCAUCAUGAGUCCCAAGAAUGUAAAGGAGAGGACCCUGGUAGACACCCCAACUGUGGGAAAAACUUGGGUAUGAAAUCAACAGUUGAACAACAUCAUGCGGUCCAUGUUUUACCACAGCCUUUCACAUGUAAUAACUGUGGGGUGGCCUUUGCAGAUGAUACAGAUCCUCGUGUCCAUCACAGCACUCACCUAGGAGAAAAAUCUUAUAAAUGUGACCAGUAUGGAAAGAACUUAAGUCAGAGCCAAUAUCUUAUUGUUCAUUGUAAAACCCACUCAGGAGAGACUCCCUAUGAAUUCCAUGAAUGGCCUACAGGCGCAAACAGAGCUCAGACCUUCCCAGAUGUCAGAAAGUCCCCUCAGGAGACAAUCCCUACAAAUGUAAAGAAUGUGGCAAGGGCUUCAGGUGCAACUCCUCCCUUCACAACCAUCAUCGAGUCCACACAGGGGAGAUGCCCUACAAAUGCCACGUAUGUGGGAAAGCGUUUGGAUUUAGGUCACUUCCUUGUAUUCAUCAGGGAGUACACACAGGGAAAAAGCCCUACAAAUGUGAAGAGUGUGGGAAGGGCUUUGAACAGAGCUCCAACCUUCUUAUCCAUCAGAGAGUCCACACUGGAGAGAAGCCCUACAAAUCCAGUGAGUGUGGCAAGUGCUUUAGUUCAAGCUCCGUUCUUCAAGUCCACUGGAGGUCUCACACAGGGGAGAAACCUUAUAGGUGUGGUGAGUGUGGAAAGGGCUUCAGCCAAAGUACACACCUUCACAUUCACCAGAGAGUCCACACAGGGGAGAAACAAUACAAAUGCAAUGUGUGUGGAAAGGAUUUUGGGUAUAGUUCUGUUCUUCACACUCAUCAGAGAGUUCACACUGCAGAAAAACCAUAUAAAUGCGAAGUGUGUGGAAAGUGCUUUAGUUACAGUUCAUAUUUUCACUUCCAUCAAAGCAAUCACACAAGAGAGAAACCAUAUAAAUGUGAUGAGUGUGGUAAAGGCUUCAGUCGGAAUUCAGAUCUUCAUGUUCAUCUCAGAGUCCACAGAGGACAGAGGCCCUAUAAGUGUAAGGCAUGUGGUAAGGGCUUCAGUCGUAAUUCGCACCUCCUUGCCCAACAGAGAGUGCAUAUAGAUAAGACACAGUACACACAUUGUGAGCAUGACAAAGACCUUCUGACUCAUCAAAGACUACAUGAGCAGAGAGAAACAUUAUAAAUGUAGUAAGUCAGGGUUAAAUUAGGAAAACAGAAGCCACACUGUAUUCCAGAUAAUAGAGGCUUACUCAGCCUGUGGGAGGGCUGGGGGAGCAAAAGACAGGGACACUGCCAUCGAUAAUGUCAGCCUGCAGCACUGGAGUGUGCCAGGCAAGGGUUGUGGAUUUCAACAACUUCUGUGAAGCUCCCAUCAACUGCUGUAUGCUACAAUGGCAAAGUAGGUUACUCUUGACAAAUGGGUGGUUUGUGGUAGUGUUUGUAGUUAGAGGUCAAAUUUCCAUUAAAGGGUGUGUCCAGGAAGGAAAUUCUAAUUGGGAUGAUUAUGGUAAGGUCUUCAGUUUAGCCAAAGUCCUUAGAUUUUUUUAGUCCCCAACAGAAAAAUACUCUCUGUAUGAAGAACAUUCAAAAGUGUGCUCAGAAAUGAAACCGAUGCUCUUACUAUGAAAGAAUAUUAGUACUCAAGUUUUCCAUGAGAUUCUCUGCACAGGCGAGAAGCUCUACAGAAGUGGCAUUUGAAGGGUGUGGCAGAGGCAGUGCUGUGUUUAUCACACUGGUUCCAUUUCCUUGCAAAUAAGAAGACUCUAUUUCCCAAUAACACUUGCAGUUAAGAGUGUGCCCAUGUUUGAGCUCUAGCCAAUGGAAUAUGAGCAAAAGUGAUAUAAGCCACUUUCAGGUCUAGCCUUUAUAAACAUCCUCAGGCUUCUCUAUUCCUGCCAAGGUGACCUUGGAGGCUGCUUAUUCCAGACUGCAUUGAUAGAAGGUCGCUAUCUGAUCUGUGUUGGAUUUCUUUUUAGAGUAAGAAAUAAAAAUUCACUGUGUAUCACCACUGAGAUUUUUGGUGGUUUAUUUGUUACUGCAGCAUUGCCUAGGCCAUCCUGACUAGCAUGGAGGGAUUUUAUAGCAAUAUGUUUCAUCGUCAUUGGAGUCCACAUACAGAAGCAACAUUGUAAUUCAGAGUUCAAAGCUUUUAAGUCUUUAAGGCUUGAUGUGGCAGUGCAACCAUCUAAAAUGGUAUGGAUGGGACUUCUCCAGUGAUAACCUUCAUUCAUUGGUGUGUACACCAAAGAGAAAUGUUCAAGAUGAUAUAGCUGUGGUAAAACUUUACUGAAAAGUACAACCCACAGACGUAAGAAAUCUCAUACAAUAGAGAAACUCUGUAGUGUGGGAGCUGAAUAAGUUUGUCAGCUCCCACCUUAAAUGUGAUUAAAAAUUAACUAGAAUAGGUGUUCUGUGGUUAGUCUUAAUAAAAUUAAUUGAAUAAAACUAACAUUUAUGAAAGUGAGCAACAACAUGUAAAAAACCAACAGUGUUAAUUGCAGACUGAUGCAGUCUUCUUCUCAGCAGACUUGUAUAAUAAUGGGUUUUUAAAGGGUGCUCUUUCUAUCAGCUUCCUCCCAAAAUUGUCAUUUAAUUGGGGAUAAUAGAUGAAUUCGAGAG